rnacentral:rRNA from 1 species
UGGGUCUCGCUCGUUGCCUGACUUAACAGGAUGCUUCACAGUACGAACUGACGACGGCCAUGCACCACCUUUCAGCUAAUCCGGCAAAGUCUUCAGCCUGGCCUUCAUAUUGCUGUCGGUCCCGGUAAGAUUUCCGGCGUUGAAUCCAAUUAAACCGCAAGCUCCACCCGUUGUGGUGCUCCCCCGCCAAUUCCUUUAAGUUUCAGCCUUGCGGCCGUACUUCCCAGGUGGCUCGCUUCACGGCUUCCCUACGGCACCGACAACGGUCGCACCGUGGCCGACACCUAGCGAGUAUCGUUUACGGCUAGGACUACCCGGGUAUCUAAUCCGGUUCGUGCCCCUAGCUUUCGUCCCUUGCCGUCAGGUCCGUUCUGGUGAGACGCCUUCGCCACUGGUGGUCCUUCAAGGAUUACAAGAUUUCACCCCUACCCCUGAAGUACCUCUCACCUCUCCCGGCCUCGAGCCAGACAGUAUCUCCUGAAAGCCUGACAGUUAAGCUGCCAGAUUUCUCAAGAGACUUAUCCGGCCGGCUACAGACCCUUUAGACCCAAUAAUAACGGUUACCACUCGAGCCGCCGGUGUUACCGCGGCGGCUGGCACCGGUCUUGCCCGGCCCUUGCUAUGAAAUGCUUUUUAGGCAUCUCGACAGCCAGAUUUGUAACCUGGCACUCGAGGUUCCCUUAUCGCUGUUGCCAGCAUUGUAAAGUUUUCGCGCCUGCUGCACCCCGUAGGGCCUGGAUUCGUGUCUCAGAAUCCAUCUCCGGGCUCUUGCUCUCACAACCCGUACCCGUCGUAGGCUAGUAGGUACGCUACACCCACUACUACCUGAUAGGCCGCAGACCA